CUUGGAAAAGAAGUAUAAACAAAAAAAAAAAAAACUUGGAAAAGAAGUAUAAAAAAAUGUUUAUUUAUACCAAUUUAUUUUUGUUCUAACAAACCCUAGCUAUUUUUCCCCCUUUCAACUCAUAAUCGCAAAACACACAAAUCUAUCAGAAAGAGAAGCACACAACGAUAAAGAGAAAAAGUCUGGAUUCUACAGUGAUUCAUUGUCGUACGAUCAUCGGGGAAGGUUCUGUAAUCUUGAAUUCUCCAUCAGAAUAACAAUCAUGAGAUUCAUGAAGGGGAGUAAAGUGGAGGUACUAAGAAAGAAAGAGGCGACUCCUGCUGAAUGGGCUUGUGCUAAGAUUAUUUCAGGCAAUGGGCACACUUAUAGUGUCGUAUUCGAAGGUUCUUGUGGCAUGAGAAGUGAAGCACUUGUGGAGAGAGUGCCAAGGAAGGCCAUUAGACCCUGCCCUCCUUCUGUGGGAAGUGUGGAGAGUUGUGCAGUUGGAGAUAUUGUGGAAGUUUUUGAUGUUGGUUCUUGGAAAAUAGCCAUGGUUGUGAAGCCUUUCGGCAGAGAUUAUUAUUUGGCUAGGCUACUGGGGUCUUGUGAGGAGUUCAGAGUUCACAAAUCCAACGUUCGGGUGCGUCAGUCUUGGCAAAAUAAUGAAUGGAUUGUGAUCAGAAAGGGUUUGGACAGUUGUGAUUUGGUGAAAUCCAACAAACCAUCUAGCUCGUAUUGUCAUCAGAUUACUUCUGGAGUUCCACAAUUCAUUUCAAGAAGAAAGAUGCAGGCAGGAUAUAAUUGUUUAGCUGCUCAAGACAAUACAUGCUUUCAAGAGCCUUAUACUGUCUCAUCUAGGAUAUUGAAGAGAUCUCUCCCUUAUUGCUCCUCUAAUAUUGAACCAUAUGCCAGAAAAACGAGAGGAAUCCAGAAAGAGGGUGAAUCCCUCUUGCUGAAAAAGGGCCAAAGUUGGAGGCUUGCAUGCCUUGCUUCCAAAGGUCUAAAGAUGAUGCUGGGUUUUGCUGCCUUUCUCUGGGCUUAAACAAUUGUGCAAGCACUUCAUCCAUAAUGUAUAUGUAUGUGUCCGUGUGUGUCUGUGUAUAGCAAUAUGUCAUUCCUGCUGGUAAUCCCCAAUUCCAGGAUUGGAAGAAGUUCUAUAUUAGGACUUUGAGAUCAAAUAUAAUAUUUUAUUUCCAUCUCCAGUGAGCCACUUAUUUGUCUGAGACAAGAUAUCAAAGUGAUUUUCCUCCUUUUAUGCAAUGAGUCCUCGGCUUUACUCCAUUGCUUUGGGGGGGGGGGGAAUGCGAGCUUUCGUGUUCAGAGUAUUGUACAAGUAAAUAACCUAAAAAAAAAAAACAUUCUCCAAGUAAAUAGGCACCACCUACCUUAGAUGUUGGGUAAGGCAAGUCCCAAGAAGGUAUAGGUUGGCUUCCAGCUCCAUCUUUGCUGUGUUGCCCAAACCCAGGGAAGGGCAUUUGCUGAGGAGUAUGGUUUUGAGGGAGGGAAAGCAUGGCUGACAAGCCUUCAGUGGCAUGGUUGAUUUCUGAUCUGCUAGGAACCGUGGGACCCAUAUGGUGCCAACUUUUGAAACUUUUGGGAGAACAAUCUUGAUAUGAUCUCUGGGCAACCCAUCCUUGAUAAAGCCUGUCAAUGAGCGGAAGGGUUGCUGGGACUCUAUCGUACUUAAAUGCUGCUCUUCCUGUAUUAUCAUAGAUUUACUGUCUUGAGAUUUAGUGGUGGCUGGGAAAUUGAAUUUGCAAUGUUUCUUAGGCUUUUAAGAUCGUUGAUGAUCGAGGUCAGACUUAUCCUGAAUUGAUUGUUUGAGGAACAGUUGGUUGAUUUUGAUGGCCACCACGAUCGUUCCUCUGGGUGUGGCAAUGCUUAUGAUGAGUAUUUUUAGCUGAGGAUGGACCGCCUAGGCACACAUUUGAUGCUAAUCUGAGUGAUACUGGAGAGCAAACAAAUGGCGGUUACUAAAUGGAAAUGAGUAUUGAUGUUCUAACUUCACGUGCUAAUUGAUUAUUUUUUUUUACGCAUCUACGAGCUGAUCAACAGCAUUAUUGUACUUGAAAUGGGUUGUUAUCUCUUACAUAAGUAUGUUUAACCAAUUUA